rnacentral:lncRNA from 1 species
GUAGCAUUUUCAGCAGGAGUUGGGGACCAGCACGGUAUUUCAUCAGAGAUGCUAUUAACAUCUGUUUAUUUGCAGUUCAUGGUUUAAAUCUCAGUGGGAGCUCAUCUGCCAAGCGGAAGGGUUUCAAAUAAGAUCAAGUGAGAAAUAUACUCUGCUCCAUCCCAGGUCAUGGAGGACAUAUUUUCAUUGUGUCUUUGUUAUUUGUCCUCAAGCUAAAGUACAAAGUCAUCUGGGCUGAAAAACACAUGUUGUUUAUUGUGCAUGAGAGAUGGAUAUACUGUGUGUGGGAGGUAGCAUGACCAUUUGCCUUCUCUCUUCAAGACAAUGGUAAUGCCUGCAAUGAGUCCUGCUCUGAAGAGAAAUCACCUUACUGUAACUUCACCUGUACUGCGGGUCAAUCAUUUCUGCUGAGCUGCAGUUGGUUUUUCCACUGAAGAAGAAACAAACAGACAAAGAAACCCUGCUUAUGGGAUUGACUGAUACUGAGCUGGCCAGGUGGCAACUUCAGUUUGACCAGAGUAUUUAACAUUUUGGGAGCUAAAGUUCCCUUUGCUCUGAGUGUAAAGGUCUGAAGUUUUUUCAUUUCCUCUAGAUUAGGACGGAGUAGUGUUGUGGGUUUUUUUGUUAUUUCUAUGCAUUGGGAAGUGGCUGUUCUAAGGUAGCUGAAAUGGAGCUAAGCACUACUGCUAAUAUUUGCCUUUCAGCAGGUUUGACGGUGACCUUCCUUCCCCAGUUCACCCAAAUGAAAUUAGAAGAUGGAAAGGAAAAAGUUUGCAGCUGGGAUAAAUUGAACUAUUUUGGGAGAAAUGUAAUGCCCCCUAAUUUCAGACUUAGCCUUCCUUCUGGCUUGAUGUUGAAUGCUAUCACUACAGAUAGGCUUGUGGGAGACUGGGAAGAUGCUGCCAUGUGGCUCCACUUCAUUAGGCAAAAGCUCAGAGCAUAGCCUUGCUGCAUUAACUCUUCCUGUGACAGCACUGAAGGAUUAAUGACAAAUUGCUGGGGUGGUAAGAGCUCAUUUGUAUGAACUCACUGACAGACAUCCCUGCUGCCCAACACCUUCAGAACAUCUCAGCAGAUGCUGUAUUUGUUUCAGGCCAGACAUGACUUUUUGAUAUUGAGCUGUCAAAAGAAUAUGAAGGUG